rnacentral:rRNA from 1 species
UACGGAGGUCGCAAGCGUUAUUCGGAUUUACUGGGCGUAAAGGGCGCGUAGGCGGCUAGAUGUGUCUAAGGUGAAAUCCCUCGGCUCAACUGAGGAACUGCCUUUGAAACUGUCUGGCUUGAGGCCGGGAGAGGGUAGCGGAAUUCCCAGUGUAGCGGUGAAAUGCGUAGAUAUUGGGAGGAACACCAGUGGCGAAGGCGGCUACCUGGACCGGUUCUGACGCUGAGGCGCGAAAGCGUGGGUAGCAAACAGG